CCUACGGGAGGCAGCAGUAAGGAAUAUUGGUCAAUGGACGCAAGUCUGAACCAGCCAUGCCGCGUGAAGGAUUAAGGCCCUCUGGGUUGUAAACUUCUUUUAUAGGGGACGAAAAAAGGGCAUUCUUGCUCACUUGACGGUACCCUAGGAAUAAGCACCGGCUAACUCCGUGCCAGCAGCCGCGGUAAUACGGAGGGUGCAAGCGUUAUCCGGAUUUACUGGGUUUAAAGGGUGCGUAGGUGGGUUGGUAAGUCAGUGGUGAAAUCUUCGAGCUUAACUCGGAAACUGCCAUUGAUACUAUCAAUCUUGAAUCAUCUAGAGGUAAGCGGAAUAUGUCAUGUAGCGGUGAAAUGCUUAGAUAUGACAUAGAACACCAAUUGCGAAGGCAGCUUACUAUGGAUGCAUUGACACUGAGGCACGAAAGCGUGGGGAUCAAACAGGAUUAGAUACCCUGGUAGUCCACGCCCUAAACGAUGGAUACUCGACAUUUGUGAUAUACAAUAAGUGUCUGAGCGAAAAGCAUUAAGUAUCCCACCUGGGAAGUACGACCGCAAGGUUGAAACUCAAAGAUUAGAGCGNGAGAGAGACGACGACGACGACGAGGGAGGAGG
rnacentral:rRNA from 1 species